UUAUUCUUUUUGGAAGGGGCAGAGUUAGAUGAAAUAUUAGAGGGGGGCUAAAAAUAUUUACACAAUAAAAUAAGACUAAAAUAAAAUUUUAAGGGGG